rnacentral:rRNA from 1 species
GCCCGUCACACCAUGGGAGUAUGACUGGGGUGAAGUCGUAAC